UACGUAGGGGGCAAGCGUUGUCCGGAUUUAUUGGGCGUAAAGAGCUCGUAGGCGGUUUGUCGCGUCUGCUGUGAAAACCCGAGGCUCAACCUCGGGCCUGCAGUGGGUACGGGCAGACUAGAGUGGCGGUAGGGGAGAUUGGAAUUCCUGGUGUGAGCGGUGGAAUGCGCAGAUAUCAGGAGGAACACCAAUGGCGAAGGCAGAUCUCUGGGCCGUAACUGACGCUGAGGAGCGAAAGCAUGGGGAGCGAACAGG
rnacentral:rRNA from 1 species